rnacentral:rRNA from 1 species
UGGGGAAUAUUGGACAAUGGGGGCAACCCUGAUCCAGCCAUGCCGCGUGAGUGAUGAAGGCCUUAGGGUUGUAAAGCUCUUUCAGCAGGGACGAUAAUGACGGUACCUGCAGAAGAAGCCCCGGCUAACUCCGUGCCAGCAGCCGCGGUAAUACGGAGGGGGCAAGCGUUGUUCGGAUUUACUGGGCGUAAAGGGCGCGUAGGCGGGCGAUCAAGUCAGGGGUGAAAGGCCUGGGCUCAACCUGGGACGUGCCUUUGAAACUGAUUGUCUUGAGUGCGGGAGAGGGUGACGGAAUUCCCAGUGUAGAGGUGAAAUUCGUAGAUAUUGGGAAGAACACCGGUGGCGAAGGCGGUCACCUGGCCCGCAACUGACGCUGAGGCGCGAAAGCGUGGGGAGCAAACAGGAUUAGAUACCCCCGUAGUCC